AAAGUAGGGGAGGUAGGGGAGGGAUGGGCAGUCGGGAGACAUGGGCACCCCCCUUUUAUUCUGAUCCUGACAUAGGUUUUUCUUUUUUCUUAAUUUGAUAGUUUACUUUACCGUCUGGCAAAACUGUUCAUCCAUAGACUAUCUGUUAUUUCCGUCAGUUGUCAAACACAAACACAUUUGAAGAUUAUGCGCUCGUAAAAGUAAGUAUUUUGUUGUGGAUUCGGAUCGUAAUACAGAGAAAAUUAACGAAAGAAAGAUUCAAAAAGAAAGUUUACAACGAGAAAUUCCCAAAGAUUUGAUAUUACGAGCCAUAGAAGAGGUAUCAAAAGGAUCAAAAAUAAAAACAACAGCUGAUAAAUAUAAAUAUAAGCCUUUAUGGGUUAUAACUAAUUUAAGAUAAGUCGUGAUAUA